GUGGGCCGGGCAGGGCCGGGCCGCGCUGUGUCACGGCCAUGGAGUACCUGAUCGGCAUCCAGGGCCCCGAUUACGUCCUGGUGGCCGCUGACACCGUGGCGGCCACCAGCAUCAUCCAGAUGAAGCACGACCAUGAGAAAAUGUUUAAGAUGAGUGAAAAGAUCUUACUGCUGUGUGUUGGGGAGCCUGGAGACACAGUGCAGUUUGCAGAAUACAUCCAGAAGAAUGUUCAGCUCUACAAAAUGAGAAAUGGUUAUGAGUUGUCUCCCACUGCAGCUGCAAACUUCACCCGGCGAAACCUUGCAGACUAUCUCCGGAGUCGAACCCCUUACCAUGUGAACCUUCUCCUGGCUGGCUACGAUGACCACGAGGGCCCUGCCCUGUACUACAUGGAUUACCUGGCAGCUCUGGCUAAAGCCCCUUUUGCAGCACAUGGAUAUGGAGCAUUCCUUACCCUCAGCAUCCUUGACCGCUAUUACAAGCCAGGUAUCACACGUGAGGAAGCUAUGGAGCUCUUAAAAAAAUGUCUAGAGGAGGUUUCUUGUCUCAUUUCAAACUCAUCACUGCAGAGGGGCUGAGCUGAUGUGGUAUUUUUGUCACUGCAUAUUGAAGCAGUGAUGCCGCUUCAUUGGAGGGAUUCAUUGUUCAGACACUGAACUGGAGUGUGGAGCUCUUGGAUGAUGUGAACCUGGCAGAGAAUCUGCCUGGAGUUUUUAUUGGCACCUAUUUGAAUGCAGAUCAGCUGUGGUCACAGAACUCAAGGAGAGAGGACCAGAGCCUUGUCCAGCAGGCAGGUGGGAUAAAGGAAGAUAGCCAGUGACUUGCCAAAAACCCAACAGCUUCCAGAAUAUCUGGAAUCCAUCCUGUCCUAGUUUGUCCAAGCACUGACAAGCAGGGAUGUGAAGUUAAGGUAAGUCUUCUGGUUUUUUAGGAUAUUACAAUUCUCCCUUGCAGAGCUACUCUGGACAUUUACUGCUGUGUGCUUGCAAUGAGGAUGCUCACAAGAUUUUAUCAGCAGCUGUGCCAGGGAGGAAAAUCUCCUGCACCACACGGUACUGUUUUCAAAGGACUUUCUGUGAUCCCACAGAAAAUUUGCUGAAGAAAAAAAAAAUCAGGCAAAGUCUGCAAUGGUCUGGAAUGUGGGAUAUCACAACCCAUUCAUUUGCUCCCUCCCAACAAGCCUGCAGUGUGCAGAGGCUGUGGCUCAAGGGUGGUAUUGUGGGCCUGGCUGGAGCAGAAAAUGCACUUGUCUGUGUAAUUAAAAUGCCCCCAAUUGGAUUAUAUGGGAAUCAGAAACUUUAAAGUACAUAGCCAGACUCUGACAUGAGAAUUAGGAAAACAUUUCCAAAGCUGUCAGCUCAUUUGGUGGUUUUCCUUUUUUUGGACAGCAGUUUCUUGUAUAUUUGAAAAUUUUGUUACUGGGCAAGGCUGAGUUUGGGAUAUGAAAGGAUUUCCAGGGUUUACUUAUUCCUUACUUUCUCUGAUUUAAAAUUAUACAGUUUAAACCUGUUUCUCUUUUCUUUUUUCUUUUUUUCUUUUUUUUUAAUAAUCCUUAAACUCACAUAAUUCUUAGUGGACACCUUCAAGAAGAGAAGAAUUAAAAGAGGGGUUUGAUUUAAUUUGUCUUACAGUGUUCACUCAAUGCACAUGAGAAAUCUGCCUAGGGUGUCAUGCUGGGGGCUUUGCUUGGGCAUAUCCAAUAGUCCAAGGUUUUUGUGUUGGUUUUUGCCUUGGGAUUGAUGUGCUGUGAUGAACCAGGGGAAGGCUGGUUGUGUGAGCUCCAUGUCCCCUGUUCACAUAAGCCAGGAGAGGAUUUGAGGUUGACCCUUCCUAUGUGUUUAGGAGCUGUGAAGCCACACAGUUACAGUUUUGGUUUCCAUGUUUGCAUCAAAAUUUACAGGGUACUAAAGCAAAAGAUUCUUUAUGUUCAAAAGCUGUGAAAAAGUUUAUUAACACAUGGAAUUGGUAGAAAACAUUUUUGCCCCAAGCUGAGCUGAACGGAGCUAUUUUUCCUCACAAGAUUUUCUGAAUUACUCCUUGGCUCAGCAGGUUCAAAGGCACUGACAACUUUUUUUUUUAGGAAUGCUUUAAAACAGAAAUGUUCCUUAAUUUUUUUUAGCAUUCCAGCUAAGUUUUCUGCUUUACCAGGUAAGACCUUUGUAUUCUCUAAAUGGUCCAUAUGCCAAAUGUUCUGAAAGAUGAUCCAUUGGGUUUUCCCAUCUCUUGGGCCUUCCUCACUUUCCUGGGGAGAGCUGAAUGCUUCAAUUUGCUUGAAACUUUCCCCUUUGCCCUGUGCUCUGACAAGGCAAGGAUGGGCUGUGGAUGCCCUGUGCCCGUUUUUGCUCUGGAGAACUUUGGAGAAGUUUUUUUUUCAAGAAGUUUUGUGCCAAAUCUCAUCUUCCUCACAAAGAGAACCUGAAUGGGGCCAAGCCAGGGCUGUCUGUGCUACAGGACAGGUCUCAUCUCUCAUGGUGAUUACUGUGUGCUCCUGGAGGAUCUCUGUGAUGACCAAAUUAGCAGGAAACUCCAAAAGCCAUAAUCUGUAAUAUAUAAUGCAUAAUGUGCUGCUGCCAUAUGACAGGACUGGGAGAGGAAAUGAAAUGAAAAUGGGUCAGGAGUGGGAGGCCUGGGCUGAAAUAAUUCCCUGUGGUGCCAGGGUCCAUUUAAGAGGCAAAACAGCAGCACAUUACCAAGAGGGUGUAAGAAAGGUUGUUUUCAUAGUCCAAACUGAGCAAACUGGCCCUUCCACUAGCGUUCUCCUCCUCAGCAGUGCCUGCACCCUCUGUGUCCUGCCUCCCUGCUGGAAUGUUUUUGCAGGUAGUGAAGUAGAACAGAGAUUCUGAAAGGAGAAUUUUUUAUCACUGGAAAUAAAAUUAUAAACAUACUGAUUAUAUCUUUAAAACAGACUGUUGAAACAAAUGUUGGGGGAUUUUUGUAGUUAUGAUGCUCGAGUUGAUUUAUCUGUGGUUGAAUCCAAACCGUUUCCUAAACUCCCCACAUCCCUUCAGCUCUUUGUGUCACAUCUGUUUUCAAUGAGGUGCAGGUAACUGUUUCCUUUGUAAACUUACCUACUGAAAUAGAAAUUUGCAGGUAAGACAUUUGAGCACAGGGUCUAAUACAAUGAGGAUUUGAUGUUUGAUGGCACAACAAGGUACUGUGGGAACAUAAACAUAACCCUCCUGAAACAGAGACAGAUAUUUGGAUUGGAUAAAAUGUUUCCAUAGGAAUUGCUCCUUUUUUUGAAAGUUUUUGCUGCAUGCUGAGAAAAAAAAAAAAUCUCUCUGAAAAAGCGACAUCCCUGGAAUACCCAAUCUGCACAGGAAUCUGGUCAUAAUGCCAUGCAGCUGCCAAUGAGGUCUUCAACAUAUGGUGAAACUCUCAUAAUUCCUGAAUAAAGGCACUCAGCAUUUCAGCCACUGAUGUUCUGAAUCUCAUCCAAUAAAAGAAUCCAUGGAUCCACUUUGAUCAGGCAUGUGACAAAGGAAAAGUUUGACUGGAAGACCUUGAAUGUCCUGUGGGAAGAAUGUGUGAUUUACUUAUAGCAUGUGUUUAAGGAUAAAUCCAAGAUGUUGUUGCAGAAUUAGCUGAAACUUCUCGGUUGUGUGAGAUAACAUAGAAUCACAGAGAACACAUGGAAUUUUGGGCCAGAGGAAGAUGAUGGACCCGUUAUUUUUUGUUGGGCGCAAGUUGUUCAGUUACACCAAGAAAAUGCUGCGUCUUGGGGAUUUUUUAGUGAAUGUAAAGUUCUAAAUGUGGAAAAACUCAAUAAGAAUUUAAGACACUUUUGCGCAGCAGAGACAUUGUCAAGUGAGAAGCUGCAGCAUCCAGACACAUCUUGAGGUGCUGCAGAACUUCUUGGCUUGGAGCAAUUAAUUGAUUUUUCUCUGAAUUCAUUUCACACCCCAAAAAAAGCUGAGUUGUCUCCAUUUAACAUUUUCUUUGGCUAUAACCUUUGCUACUAAAACAAAGGUAUCCUGAUGAGAAAUCCAUCUGGAUCUCAGGAAUUUAGCUUUUUCUCUGCUGAAAAUAAUCAAAUUAGAAGCAUCUGAGGAUGUCAGUAUAAAAACAUACAAAGGAACCAUCCAGGACUUCACUGUCAUAAUAUUUCCUGCCUUGGAAAAAAUCUGGGAUGCUUCAGCACCAUGAUUAUGGGGGCAAAGUUUGGGUAGAUGUUCAGUUUCUGGAAUUAUAUUUGCUAUUUAUCGUAUCCUAUUGGAAAUGCUCAGAUAGCCACAGUAGGAAUUAUUUUCCAUAUAAAGGAGCUGAGGUGGGAAGACCAAAGUGAUAACUUGUGGCUCAGCAUGGCUGCAUUCUGGUUGAGGGCUAGGUCAGACUCUUUCUGCCAACUGUGUUUGGAUCAUGAAGGCUCUACAUCCUGCACAUGGACAGGGAGAGCAGAGUCUACACCAAUAAUCUCAGGAGCAUCAUGUCACCCUCACAAAAAACAUUUAUUUUAAUGUGUGACUUGAAAAUGUUUCCAGUGUUGGUGCUUUGAUUCAGCUGCACCACCAGGAAAAACUUACCUUGCUCACUGGCUGUGUGGCUCUUUGGAUUCCACAUGUAAAGCUGGGAAUUUAAUGGAUUCUCCUAUAGGAAGGAAUGCAUUAACUACAGGUCAGCAAACUCUGGUUAUUGGGUUGUUUCACACCGAGAGCUGUUAUUACCCUGUUGCUUUUAAGGUGCCUGUUUAAAGGUAAUUAUUUAGUCUGUCCAAAGCCGUGUGGAAUUCCAACACAACCUCUGUUCCCUGGUGUUAAUGAUGCAGCACAGUCACAGCUCCAUGUUACCCUUGGUUUGCCCUUGGGACAGCUGACUCUUAGGGAUUGAAGAGUUUCUCUCUUUUUCACUUGUCAAGGAUUAGUAUGUGGUUUCCCUAGAUUUGUAAUUCAUUCAAAAUUAAUCCAAAAAAGAUUUAUUUUUUUUUGUUUCAUUCCCCUUUAGAAUUAAAAUUCCAGCGUGUUUUGUAACAACCGUAGAAACCCUGAGUCUGGAUCUAUUUUUAUUUGUUGACACAAUCCUAUGUAUUUUCCCACAAUGAGAUUUGUAAUCAGCAUGGGAAUUUAUACCAGGGUUGAGCCUGGAAUUGUGUAAAAUGUUUUUUUUUCUCUUAGGAUGGAAAGGGAGAGGACAUGUCAGGGGAUGGUCUUGUUUGACAGAGAGCUGGGAGGAGACUCCAGUACAGACAAGAAUUGGCCUUCCACGACCCCUGACUCUUCUGAAGUGUCUCUGUGGGCCUGCAGGAAUGAGUAUGUCCAAAAUUUUGGGAAGUCUUGAUGUUUUAGAAAAUUGCUCCUAUGUGGUGUGUCCGUUACUCAUCUUGAGCAUCUGAUCAACAAGUGAAUCCAAAUCAUGCAACUUCCUCCCACUCACAGGUCAUUGGAGAUGUCCUGGCCUUUCAGGCACCAGACUUUUCCUCAUAAAACAUUCCAUAGACUUGAAGGUACCCAAAAAGGAAAAUGAGGAGGGAGGUGUUGUCCACCCCAUGGAUGUGGUAUGUAAUUACUGAAGGCAGAUCCUGAUUCUCUGUCUGCAUUGCUCAUCCAUGCUGUGUCUAAGAAUUCCUUGAUAUUCAAAGUGCCCCAGCCAAGCCAGGUUUGCAUAAUGUGAUUAAAUUAGGAAAUGAUAUUUCAUGCCUGGAUAUUACAGUGCACGCACACACACUUUCAUCCUGUGUUGGAGCGUCACUUGCUCUGCUCUGAUACCGUGCACCAGAGGAUGUCUGCAAAUGGAAUUAUUUCAGGAUAGUUAUCCUAAAUAACUCUAUGUAGGGAAACCUGUAUUGUAGCACAAAAGCACCUUACUCUCCUUUAUCAUAAUCUAUUUAAAUGUGGAUUAUGCUGAUGCAAAACAGGGUGCUCCUACUUUGGAAUAAUUUUAAAUAGGAAUAAUUUUUGUGCUUUUGGCUCACACCCUACAUUAUCCAAACUGACUUUGAAGUGUAAACAAGCCUCUGAUGUGAUGUGUAGUAUUUCCAUUCUGCUCCCCGAUUCCUCCUUGUUUCUUGAUUCUUUCUUUGGGAAGGUCCAGAGCAAAACCAGACCUGCAGAGCCCGUCAUUUAGGUCUUUGCUUUCACAAACCUCAUACCAAGGGAUGUUUCCAAUCCAUUUCCAUAUUUUAAUGCCUCUCUAAGCUUUGAAGGGAAUAUUUAGAUGCCAGUUUCUGAUGCUGAGCCAUCCCCACAGAUUCUAUUAGGACAUUAAAUGUUUCCUUUCACACUUUCCUGAAAUGGAGGUUUGUGUUUCAAACCUCCUGUGGUCUCUUUCGGGACUGUUUGAGGUUUUCCCUCUAUUACCAUCAGCCUAUUCUGCACCUCCAGAGAAACCUGUGGGGUGCAGCUCUGAGAAGGGUCCAAUGCAGGGAGUGCUGCCAUAGCUCAGUCCCUCCAUCUGCCUCUUUGUGAGGAGCAAGGAUGUGUAGUGAAGACAGCAAGGAGGCUCCCUAAAAUCACCCUCUUCCAUUGUGUCAAAAGUCAUUUUUACAUCUGUUCCCAUGAAAAGUCACAGCUUCUUACCUGAGGCAGGUAAGACUUACUUAAACGUGCUUUCUGACCAUUUCAUGGGUGUCCAAUCUCUUGGUUUGGUGUCAUCUUUCCCUGUUUGUGUUCUUUUAUCCCAUUGUUUUCCACACCUCUGUCACAUCCUGCACAUGUGCUUCCUCCUUGGUCCAGCUCUUGGUCCUGCCUUGCAUGGGAGUUGCUCCCACCUGAGUUCCCCAUUGAUUUACCAGCUGGAUUUUACCAGAUCUGUAAGUGCCAUUCAGGACAGAGCAACACAGGGCAAGCACACAGAUGUCAUGUGACAUAAUCUGGUUUUUGCUUUGUUGAUCCUUUUUCUGACCGUUCCCAUCGUGUUUAUUUCUAAGUUCUGGGAGUAUGAGGUGCUGCUGCAGACUCCUGCUCACAACUAAUUUGGAGCUUCAUUUCCUGGAGAUCAGUGGGGCUGUUUUAUCUUCUGUUUUAUCACUGAUACCAUGAGGUCCUUCUGCAGCUCCUCACAGACAGGUUUAGAUUUGACUACCCUGGGUAGUUCUGAAGCAUCAGCAAACUCAUUCAUCUCCACUGGCGCCAGUUGGCUCAGCGUGAGGGCUGGGGACUCUGGGCAGGAACACCAGCUCCUGAGCUCUGUUUGUGGCAGCACUCAACCCCCAGCCAUGAAACUGGAGAAUUCUUUCUUAAAUCUAUGCAAUUUUAUAUAAUUUCCGUGUAACAAACUAUUUAAUCCCUUUUAAGAUACAACCACAGAGGCAAAGGAUCCUUCUCACAAAGAGGAUGGAGGUGCUUUCUUCAAAUAAAAAGAGGUUUAUUAAGAGAAUGAGAAUGACAUUGUAGUGUGGGUGUUGUACAUCUAUUGCAGCAUUAAGAGAAACAACAGCAAGUACAAAAUCCUGCAGAACCUCUAGAGUUAUCAUCAUCACAGCCUAGCUUGUCCAUGCUACAGUUUGGUGGAUCCAAACUUCAUUCCCAUUUCUAAUGGCAAAAAAUCCAAAGAUUUUCAUCUUUCAAAAGAAAAAAACCCAACCCAAAACAAACAAACAAAAAAAGGCAAAACAAAAAACCCAACUCAAUUUGAUAUAAAUAACUUGCACUGGACAUUUUAAAACUUUCAGAUUUUAAUUACACAUAAAUAAAUAUAUACAGAUUUAGCAGUUCAGUUUGGCCUAGUUCAAGUUCUGCUCCUUGUGCUUUAUUUACUAUUAUUAUAUCUAAUUUUAGAAACUUGUAUGCUGUUAUCUGUAGGUUGUGGAUUUUAUUUAGUCCUGGGUUUAACUUCACCUGCCUUAUCCCCAGCCAGGAGGGCAGCAGUCAGGGGGACUCCCCUCAGUCCUGCCCUGGGACUCAUCAGCUGUGUGGUUGUUCCUGCCUCGUGCCGUGGCUUGGGGCUCCUCAGCCCACGGGAAAAUCCACAGUGAGUCUGAGUUUGAAGCUGUAAACAAAGCCUGGAUCUGCUUUAAAUCCACAGCAGUUCUGCCAGAAAUUUUCCUUGGCCUGGCAUCAGGGCUGGGCUGUGGGUGGGGAAAUGGGAAGGUUUCCUGUGUGUUUGCCUCAAAACCAGCAGAUAAAUCCAGGUAGAGCCAGGAUUCCGUCCCCCUGCCCUUGGCUGCUCCUGCUCCUCCUGCUCUGGGUCUUGCACUGAUGAGGCUUUUGCUCUUUCCUCUCAGUUUUUCAAUUGGAACAAAUUCCUUGAGCACAGAAGGAUUUCACUAUGGGUUUCUUUAAAAGCAAAAUAAAAUCAAAUUGCACAUGACUUGGCUUUCUCCAUCCAUG